AUCAUCAAGUGAUGACACAUAUAAAUAUCUUAGGACACCAUUGGACACAACUGUUUGUUGUGAAUGAAAAUACCUUGUUCUCUGAUGAUGAU